UAAAAUUCCUGCAUAGUCCAAAGUGAAAAGGCGAAGUAGAUAACAUUAAGAGAAAAAUGAACCCUUUGUCAUUGGACAGCACAACAGUACCACCGACAAAGUAGUACGUCGAACAUUGAGAUCGGUUGUGGUAGAUUCGAAGCAGGAUCAAUCAACGUUGCAAGUCGUAACUGUACCUCGAAUCGUGUCGGUCGUAUCCGAAGCUGAUGUAUUACCACCCUCGAGCACACAAAUGAGCGCAACUGAAAUGAUUGCUGUGCAAUUUUUGAACAGUGACGAAGAGCUGCUACUGGAUGAUGAACUUGACGUACAAGACCCUAUUGCCUCCAAUGCGGAUAGUGCUCAGGAAACUUUCGAAGAUGAAAUAGUUAGUGUUCCGAAUGAAGCACAUGCGGCUGAACAACGAAAUGCGGAAUUGGGAAAUUCCUCGAAAGCAACCAACGAUGGCGGUGUUCAACUUUCAAAGAUAAGUCCUGACAAACAAGGCGGCUCAGAGGAUGUUGAAAAUCAAUCCCCGAAUUCAAGCGAGAAACGUGGCUCCUCCGAUAGCGUACAGUUACAUAAAAGCUCGAAAAAACACGCAUCUACCGAAAUGAAGUUCCGUUGUUUCAAGAUCAAUUGGGAUAAGCUUGGCGAUAGUCUUCUCAAUCGAUUGCGUGCGUUGGAGGACUUCAAACGGAACAAUCGAGGGGUUCCUGUUCCGGUAACAAUACGCAUAGCCAAGACCGAAGUGACUACGUUAGCGAACACGGUUGUGGAUCAGCUGAGAAUGAUCGAUACGCAAAUCAGAUCGGAUGUAAUGGAAACGGCAGCACGUCAAGUCUUAGACAAGUUCCCAGCUUUGGACUAUACCGAUGACGAUGGGUUCGGAGCCGGCCAAGGAUAUGUGGAUAUCAAAUACAAGUUGAUCAAUCGUAAUAAUUAUUUGAAUCGCUUUAAAUCCCCUCAAGCAACUUUGACGAACACCGUAACGAGUUUAAAAAAGAAGCGGAAUGCUAGAGCGGGUACGCUGAAAGAAUACUGGCAGAAGUCUGCCAGUGAAUGUGACAAAAGUUCGGUUUCGGCUCUGGUACGCGAUGACCCAAGUCUGAUGACGGAGGAGCUGCUGCUGAACCCAGGCCUUCAUUAGAUGGAAACUGGACGAAAAAAUAGACACAAAGCAAAUGAUUUCACAGCUUCCUGUUCUACGACGACGAUUGUUGGUGAAUUUCCACUUCGAGCAGGCAACCGGUGUGAACAUCACCGACUUGCGGCGCUAUUUUAUGAUGAAAAGGGAAAAACUCGUGCAAUACUCGCUGACCUGCAAAUCGGAGCUCCACUUGAGUAAAUCAGCAUCAGAUUACGAUAUAUUGAAAUUUCUAUGCUCGCUUGUUGGGGAAGACUUCGGAGAUUUUAUCAUUCAAAAGGAUAUUGGUACUCGUAUUGACGAUAUCACCAUUGACGGUUCUGGACCGGUGCUGGUAGCUGUUGAUGUCGGAAACGAUAAAACGAUAUUCUACGUAUACGCAAAUCGGACACGUUUGUCCGAGGGAGCUCAUGAUGUGAUUGCCGCAGUAGAGGACCUAUUCGCCAUCCAAUUUGUACACAAUUUCAUGUACACAAAAUCGGUUUCAAAAUUCAUGGAACUGCUCCAGGAAUACUUCCUUAAGAUCAUAACUUUUGUGGCGUCGAAGUCGGGUGCACGUCGAGUAGGACAAAGGCAACAAAAAGUCAGAAAAGUCAUUUCUGCGUUGUCUAACUUUAACGUUAGCAGUUAAACAGCAUUUGUUUUGUUUGGUCAGGUCUGUCGGGCUGUUUAUAAUAUGAAUUAACUAUACAUAAAUGCCCAAAGAUAAAUUUGUGUUAAUCGUAAGCUCGAUAAAUUUCAUAGCCAAUAAAAAAGAACAUUUUUUCAUGUCAA